UGUAGGAUAGGUGGGAGGCUUUGAAGUGUGGACGCCAGUCUGCAUGGAGCCGACCUUGAAAUACCACCCUUUAAUGUUUGAUGUUCUAACGUUGGCCCCUAAUCGGGGUUGCGGACAGUGUCUGGUGGGUAGUUUGACUGGGGCGGUCUCCUCCUAAAGAGUAACGGAGGAGCACGAAGGUUGGCUAAUCCUGGUCGGACAUCAGGAGGUUAGUGCAAUGGCAUAAGCCAGCUUGACUGCGAGCGUGACGGCGCGAGCAGGUGCGAAAGCAGGUCAUAGUGAUCCGGUGGUUCUGAAUGGAAGGGCCAUCGCUCAACGGAUAAAAGGUACUCCGGGGAUAACAGGCUGAUACCGCCCAAGAGUUCAUAUCGACGGCGGUGUUUGGCACCUCGAUGUCGGCUCAUCACAUCCUGGGGCUGAAGUAGGUCCCAAGGGUAUGGCUGUUCGCCAUUUAAAGUGGUACGCGAGCUGGGUUUAGAACGUCGUGAGACAGUUCGGUCCCUAUCUGCCGUG
rnacentral:rRNA from 1 species